GAUGAACGCUGGCGGCGUGCCUAAUACAUGCAAGUCGAGCGAACGGACGAGAAGCUUGCUUCUCUGAUGUUAGCGGCGGACGGGUGAGUAACACGUGGAUAACCUACCUAUAAGACUGGGAUAACUUCGGGAAACCGGAGCUAAUACCGGAUAAUAUUUUGAACCGCAUGGUUCAAAAGUGAAAGACGGUCUUGCUGUCACUUAUAGAUGGAUCCGCGCUGCAUUAGCUAGUUGGUAAGGUAACGGCUUACCAAGGCAACGAUGCAUAGCCGACCUGAGAGGGUGAUCGGCCACACUGGAACUGAGACACGGUCCAGGCUCCUACGGGAGGCAGCAGUAGGGAAUCUUCCGCAAUGGGCGAAAGCCUGACGGAGCAACGCCGCGUGAGUGAUGAAGGUCUUCGGAUCGUAAAACUCUGUUAUUAGGGAAGAACAUAUGUGUAAGUAACUGUGCACAUCUUGACGGUACCUAAUCAGAAAGCCACGGCUAACUACGUGCCAGCAGCCGCGGUAAUACGUAGGUGGCAAGCGUUAUCCGGAAUUAUUGGGCGUAAAGCGCGCGUAGGCGGUUUUUUAAGUCUGAUGUGAAAGCCCACGGCUCAACCGUGGAGGGUCAUUGGAAACUGGAAAACUUGAGUGCAGAAGAGGAAAGUGGAAUUCCAUGUGUAGCGGUGAAAUGCGCAGAGAUAUGGAGGAACACCAGUGGCGAAGGCGACUUUCUGGUCUGUAACUGACGCUGAUGUGCGAAAGCGUGGGGAUCGAACAGGAUUAGAUACCCUGGUAGUCCACGCCGUAAACGAUGAGUGCUAAGUGUUAGGGGGUUUCCGCCCCUUAGUGCUGCAGCUAACGCAUUAAGCACUCCGCCUGGGGAGUACGACCGCAAGGUUGAAACUCAAAGGAAUUGACGGGGACCCGCACAAGCGGUGGAGCAUGUGGUUUAAUUCGAAGCAACGCGAAGAACCUUACCAAAUCUUGACAUCCUUUGACAACUCUAGAGAUAGAGCCUUCCCCUUCGGGGGACAAAGUGACAGGUGGUGCAUGGUUGUCGUCAGCUCGUGUCGUGAGAUGUUGGGUUAAGUCCCGCAACGAGCGCAACCCUUAAGCUUAGUUGCCAUCAUUAAGUUGGGCACUCUAAGUUGACUGCCGGUGACAAACCGGAGGAAGGUGGGGAUGACGUCAAAUCAUCAUGCCCCUUAUGAUUUGGGCUACACACGUGCUACAAUGGACAAUACAAAGGGCAGCGAAACCGCGAGGUCAAGCAAAUCCCAUAAAGUUGUUCUCAGUUCGGAUUGUAGUCUGCAACUCGACUACAUGAAGUUGGAAUCGCUAGUAAUCGUAGAUCAGCAUGCUACGGUGAAUACGUUCCCGGGUCU
rnacentral:rRNA from 1 species